rnacentral:ribozyme from 1 species
UUUACUCUUAUAUUUUAUAUUUGUAAUAAAAAAAAAAAAAAAAAAAAAAAA